rnacentral:rRNA from 1 species
GUGGGGAAUAUUGGACAAUGGGCGAAAGCCUGAUCCAGCCAUGCCGCGUGUGUGAAGAAGGUCUUCGGAUUGUAAAGCACUUUAAGUUGGGAGGAAGGGCAGUAAGUUAAUACCUUGCUGUUUUGACGUUACCGACAGAAUAAGCACCGGCUAACUUCGUGCCAGCAGCCGCGGUAAUAAGAAGGGUGCAAGCGUUAAUCGGAAUUACUGGGCGUAAAGCGCGCGUAGGUGGUUUUGUAAGUUGGAGGUGAAAUCCCCGGGCUCAACCUUGGAACUGCCUCCAAAACUGCAUGACUAGAGUACGGUAGAGGGUAGUUGAAUUUCCUGUGUAGCGGUGAAAUGCGUAGAUAUAGGAAGGAACACCAGUGGCGAAGGCGACUACCUGGACUGAUACUGACACUGAGGUGCGAAAGCGUGGGGAGCAAACAGGAUUAGAAACCCCAGUAGUCC